rnacentral:rRNA from 1 species
GGUUAAGCGACUAAGCGUACACGGUGGAUGCCCCGGCAGUCAGAGGCGAUGAAGGACGUGCUAAUCUGCGAUAAGCGUCGGUAAGGUGAUAUGAACCGUUAUAACCGGCGAUUUCCGAAUGGGGAAACCCAGUGUGAUUCGUCACACUAUCAUUAACUGAAUCCAUAGGUUAAUGAGGCGAACCGGGGAACUGAAACAUCUAAGUACCCCGAGGAAAAGAAAUCAACCGAGAUUCCCCCAGUAGCGGCGAGCGAACGGGGAGCAGCCCAGAGCCUGAAUCAGUGUGUGUGUUAGUGGAAGCGUCUGGAAAGGCGCGCGAUACAGGGUGACAGCCCCGUACACAAAAAUGCACAUACUGUGAGCUCGAUGAGUAGGGCGGGACACGUGGUAUCCUGUCUGAAUAUGGGGGACCAUCCUCCAAGGCUAAAUACUCCUGACUGACCGAUAGUGAACCAGUACCGUGAGGGAAAGGCGAAAAGAACCCCGGCGAGGGGAGUGAAAAAGAACCUGAAACCGUGUACGUACAAGCAGUGGGAGCACGCUUAGGCGUGUGACUGCGUACCUUUGUAUAAUGGGUCAGCGACUUAUAUUCUGUAGCAAGGUUAACCGAAUAGGGGAGCCGAAGGGAAACCGAGUCUUAACUGGGCGUUAAGUUGCAGGGUAUAGACCCGAAACCCGGUGAUCUAGCCAUGGGCAGGUUGAAGGUUGGGUAACACUAACUGGAGGACCGAACCGACUAAUGUUGAAAAAUUAGCGGAUGACUUGUGGCUGGGGGUGAAAGGCCAAUCAAACCGGGAGAUAGCUGGUUCUCCCCGAAAGCUAUUUAGGUAGCGCCUCGUGAAUUCAUCUCCGGGGUAGAGCACUGUUUCGGCAAGGGGGUCAUCCCGACUUACCAACCCGAUGCAAACUGCGAAUACCGGAGAAUGUUAUCACGGGAGACACACGGCGGGUGCUAACGUCCGUCGUGAAGAGGGAAACAACCCAGACCGCCAGCUAAGGUCCCAAAGUCAUGGUUAAGUGGGAAACGAUGUGGGAAGGCCCAGACAGCCAGGAUGUUGGCUUAGAAGCAGCCAUCAUUUAAAGAAAGCGUAAUAGCUCACUGGUCGAGUCGGCCUGCGCGGAAGAUGUAACGGGGCUAAACCAUGCACCGAAGCUGCGGCAGCGACACUAUGUGUUGUUGGGUAGGGGAGCGUUCUGUAAGCCUGUGAAGGUGUGCUGUGAGGCAUGCUGGAGGUAUCAGAAGUGCGAAUGCUGACAUAAGUAACGAUAAAGCGGGUGAAAAGCCCGCUCGCCGGAAGACCAAGGGUUCCUGUCCAACGUUAAUCGGGGCAGGGUGAGUCGACCCCUAAGGCGAGGCCGAAAGGCGUAGUCGAUGGGAAACAGGUUAAUAUUCCUGUACUUGGUGUUACUGCGAAGGGGGACGGAGAAGGCUAUGUUGGCCGGGCGACGGUUGUCCCGGUUUAAGCGUGUAGGCUGGUUUUCCGGGCAAAUCCGGAAAAUCAAGGCUGAGGCGUGAUGACGAGGCACUACGGUGCUGAAGCAACAAAUGCCCUGCUUCCAGGAAAAGCCUCUAAGCAUCAGGUAACAUCAAAUCGUACCCCAAACCGACACAGGUGGUCAGGUAGAGAAUACCAAGGCGCUUGAGAGAACUCGGGUGAAGGAACUAGGCAAAAUGGUGCCGUAACUUCGGGAGAAGGCACGCUGAUAUGUAGGUGAAGUCCCUUGCGGAUGGAGCUGAAAUCAGUCGAAGAUACCAGCUGGCUGCAACUGUUUAUUAAAAACACAGCACUGUGCAAACACGAAAGUGGACGUAUACGGUGUGACGCCUGCCCGGUGCCGGAAGGUUAAUUGAUGGGGUCAGCGCAAGCGAAGCUCUUGAUCGAAGCCCCGGUAAACGGCGGCCGUAACUAUAACGGUCCUAAGGUAGCGAAAUUCCUUGUCGGGUAAGUUCCGACCUGCACGAAUGGCGUAAUGAUGGCGGGCUGUCUCCACCCGAGACUCAGUGAAAUUGAACUCGCUGUGAAGAUGCAGUGUACCCGCGGCAAGACGGAAAGACCCCGUGAACCUUUACUAUAGCUUGACACUGAACAUUGAGCCUUGAUGUGUAGGAUAGGUGGGAGGCUUGGAAGUGUGGACGCCAGUCUGCAUGGAGCCGACCUUGAAAUACCACCCUUUAAUGUUUGAUGUUCUAACGUUGACCCGUAAUCCGGGUUGCGGACAGUGUCUGGUGGGUAGUUUGACUGGGGCGGUCUCCUCCUAAAGAGUAACGGAGGAGCACGAAGGUUGGCUAAUCCUGGUCGGACAUCAGGAGGUUAGUGCAAUGGCAUAAGCCAGCUUGACUGCGAGCGUGACGGCGCGAGCAGGUGCAGCAGGUCAUAGUGAUCCGGUGGUUCUGAAUGGAAGGGCCAUCGCUCAACGGAUAAAAGGUACUCCGGGGAUAACAGGCUGAUACCGCCCAAGAGUUCAUAUCGACGGCGGUGUUUGGCACCUCGAUGUCGGCUCAUCACAUCCCGGGGCUGAAGUAGGUCCCAAGGGUAUGGCUGUUCGCCAUUUAAAGUGGUACGCGAGCUGGGUUUAGAACGUCGUGAGACAGUUCGGUCCCUAUCUGCCGUGGGCGCUGGAGAACUGAGGGGGCUGCUCCUAGUACGAGAGGACCGGAGUGGACGCAUCACUGGUGUUCGGGUUGUCAUGCCAAUGGCACUGCCCGGUAGCUAAAUGCGGAAGAGAUAAGUGCUGAAAGCAUCUAAGCACGAAACUUGCCCCGAGAUGAGUUCUCCCUGACCCUUUAAGGGUCCUGAAGGAACGUUGAAGACGACGACGUUGAUAGGCCGGGUGUGUAAGCGCAGCGAUGCGUUGAGCUAACCGGUACUAAUGAACCGUGAGGCUUAACCUU